UCGAAACACCGGUUCUCCUGCGAUCACCGAAGUUAAGCAAUGUCAUUCCUGGUCAGUACCUUGAUGGAAGACCGCUUGGGAAUAUCAGGUGUUGUAA